GCUCUGACUCUGCCCACCAUAUGGCUGCUCCCUGACUCUGAUCUGACCACCAUAUGGCUGCUCCCUGGCUCUGACCUGACCACCAUAUGGCUGCUCCCUUGCUCUGACCUGACCACCAUAUGGCUGCUCCCUGACGCUGAUCUGACCACCAUAUGGCUGCUUACUGGCUCUGACCUGACCACCAUAUGGCUGCUCCCUUGCUCUGACCUGACCACCAAAUGGCUGCUCCCUGACUCUGAUCUAACCACCAUAUGGCUGCUCCCUGGCUCUGACCUGACCACCAUUUGGCUGCUCCCUGGCUCUGCCUCUGACCUGACCACCAUAUGGCUGCUCCCUGACUCUGAACUGACCAUCAUAUGGCUGCUCCCUGACUCUGACCAUACCACCCUAUGGCUGCUCCCUGGCUCUGACCAGACCACCAUAUGGCUGCUCCCUGACUCUGACUUGACCACCAUAUGGCUGCUCCCUUGCUCUGACCUGACCACCAUAUGGCUGCUCCCUGGCUCUGACCAGACGACCAUAUGGCUGGUACCUGACUCUGACCUGACCACCAUAUGGCUGCUCCCUGGUUCUGACCUGACCACCAUAUGGCUGCUCCCUGGCUCUGACCUGACCACCAUAUGGCUGCUCCCUUGCUCUGACCUGACCACCAUAUGGCUGCUCCCCUGCUCUGGCUCUGACCUGACCACCAUAUGGCUGCUCCCUGACUCUUAUCUGACCACCAUAUGGCUCCUCCCUGGCUCUGACCUGACCACCAUAUGGCUGCUCCCUGGCUCUGGCUCUGACCUGACCACCAUUUGGCUGCUCCCUGACUCUGAUCUGACCACCAUAUGGCUGCUCCCUGGCUCUGACCUGACCACCAUAUGGCUGCUCCCUUGCUCUGACCUGACCACCAUAUGGCUGCUCCCUGACGCUGAUCUGACCACCAUAUGGCUGCUUACUGGCUCUGACCUGACCACCAUAUGGCUGCUCCCUUGCUCUGACCUGACCACCAAAUGGCUGCUCCCUGACUCUGAUCUAACCACCAUAUGGCUGCUCCCUGGCUCUGACCUGACCACCAUUUGGCUGCUCCCUGGCUCUGCCUCUGACCUGACCACCAUAUGGCUGCUCCCUGACUCUGAACUGACCAUCAUAUGGCUGCUCCCUGACUCUGACCAUACCACCCUAUGGCUGCUCCCUGGCUCUGACCAGACCACCAUAUGGCUGCUCCCUGACUCUGACUUGACCACCAUAUGGCUGCUCCCUUGCUCUGACCUGACCACCAUAUGGCUGCUCCCUGGCUCUGACCAGACGACCAUAUGGCUGGUACCUGACUCUGACCUGACCACCAUAUGGCUGCUCCCUGGUUCUGACCUGACCACCAUAUGGCUGCUCCCUGGCUCUGACCUGACCACCAUAUGGCUGCUCCCUUGCUCUUACCUGACCACCAUAUGGCUGCUCCCUGGCUCUGGCUCUGACCUGACCACC
rnacentral:lncRNA from 1 species